rnacentral:rRNA from 1 species
ACUCCUACGGGAGGCAGCAGUGAGGAAUAUUGCGCAAUGGAGGCAACUCUGACGCAGCCAUGCCGCGUGCAGGAAGACGGCCCUACGGGUUGUAAACUGCUUUUAUCCGGGAAGAAUCCCAGUUCGUGAACUGGGUUGACGGUACCGGAGGAAUAAGCACCGGCUAACUCCGUGCCAGCAGCCGCGGUAAUACGGAGGGUGCAAGCGUUAUCCGGAAUUAUUGGGCGUAAAGCGCAUGUAGGCGGCUUUUAAGUCUGAUGUGAAAGCCAGUGGCUCAACCACUGAAUUGCAUUGGAUACUGGAAAGCUAGAAUCUUGGAGAGGUAAGUGGAAUUUCAUGUGUAGCGGUGGAAUGCGUAGAUAUAUGAAGGAACACCAAUGGCGAAGGCAGCUUACUGGACAAGUAUUGACGCUGAGAUGCGAAAGUGUGGGUAGCAAACAGGAUUAGAUACCCUGGUAGGCUCUGC